rnacentral:rRNA from 1 species
GUUGUAUGGUUAAGUGACUAAGCGUACACGGUGGAUGCCUUGGCAGUCAGAGGCGAUGAAAGACGUAGUAACUUGCGAUAAGCCCAGAUUAGGUAGUAACAACCAUUUGAGUCUGGGAUUUCUGAAUGGGGAAACCCACGUGCAUAAGCACGUAUCCUUACCUGAAUACAUAGGGUAAGGAGGCGAACCGGGGGAACUGAAACAUCUAAGUACCCCGAGGAAAAGAAAUCAACCGAGAUUCCGAAAGUAGCGGCGAGCGAAAUUGGACUAGCCCUUAAGCUUUACACGCGUUAGACGAACGGUCUGGAAAGUCCGACGAUACAGGGUGAUAGUCCCGUAGUUGACGACGUGUGUUCAGUGAAAUCGAGUAGGGCGGGACACGUGAUAUCCUGUCUGAAUAUGGGGGGACCAUCCUCCAAGGCUAAAUACUACUGACUGACCGAUAGUGAACCAGUACCGUGAGGGAAAGGCGAAAAGAACCCCUGUGAGGGGAGUGAAAUAGAACCUGAAACCGUGUACGUACAAGCAGUAGGAGCAGGCUUUGUCCUGUGACUGCGUACCUUUUGUAUAAUGGGUCAGCGACUUAUAUUCAGUGGCAAGGUUAACCAUCUAGGGGAGCCGUAGGGAAACCGAGUCUUAACUGGGCGUUCAGUCUCUGGAUAUAGACCCGAAACCAGGUGAUCUAGCCAUGGGCAGGUUGAAGGUUGAGUAACAUCAACUGGAGGACCGAACCGACUAAUGUUGAAAAAUUAGCGGAUGACUUGUGGCUAGGGGUGAAAGGCCAAUCAAACCUGGAGAUAGCUGGUUCUCCCCGAAAGCUAUUUAGGUAGCGCCUCGGACGAAUACUACUGGGGGUAGAGCACUGUUAAGGCUAGGGGGUCAUCCCGACUUACCAACCCUUUGCAAACUCCGAAUACCAGUAAGUACUAUCCGGGAGACACACGGCGGGUGCUAACGUCCGUCGUGGAGAGGGAAACAACCCAGACCGCCAGCUAAGGUCCCAAAUUACUACUAAGUGGGAAACGAUGUGGGAAGGCUCAGACAGCCAGGAUGUUGGCUUAGAAGCAGCCAUCAUUUAAAGAAAGCGUAAUAGCUCACUGGUCGAGUCGGCCUGCGCGGAAGAUGUAACGGGGCUAAGUAGUAAACCGAAGCUGCGGCAAUGUGCUUUUGCACAUUGGGUAGGGGAGCGUUCUGUAAGCGGUUGAAGGUGUGUGGUAACGCAUGCUGGACGUAUCAGAAGUGCGAAUGCUGACAUGAGUAACGAUAAAGGGGGUGAAAAACCUCCUCGCCGGAAGACCAAGGGUUCCUGUCCAACGUUAAUCGGGGCAGGGUAAGUCGACCCCUAAGGCGAGGCCGAAAGGCGUAGUCGAUGGGAAACGGGUUAAUAUUCCCGUACUUCUUACAAUUGCGAUGGGGGGACGGAGAAGGCUAGGUGGGCCUGGCGACGGUUGUCCAGGUUCAAGUGCGUAGGCUUGAGAGUUAGGUAAAUCCGGCUCUCUUUAAGGCUGAGACACGACGUCGAGCACCUACGGGUGUGAAGUCAUUGAUGCCAUGCUUCCAGGAAAAGCCUCUAAGCUUCAGAUUGUAAGGAAUCGUACCCCAAACCGACACAGGUGGUCGGGUAGAGAAUACCAAGGCGCUUGAGAGAACUCGGGUGAAGGAACUAGGCAAAAUGGUACCGUAACUUCGGGAGAAGGUACGCUCUUGAUGGUGAAGUCCCUUGCGGAUGGAGCUGACGAGAGUCGCAGAUACCAGGUGGCUGCAACUGUUUAUUAAAAACACAGCACUGUGCAAAAUCGUAAGAUGACGUAUACGGUGUGACGCCUGCCCGGUGCCGGAAGGUUAAUUGAUGGGGUUAGACUUCGGUCGAAGCUCUUGAUCGAAGCCCCGGUAAACGGCGGCCGUAACUAUAACGGUCCUAAGGUAGCGAAAUUCCUUGUCGGGUAAGUUCCGACCUGCACGAAUGGCGUAAUGAUGGCCACGCUGUCUCCACCCGAGACUCAGUGAAAUUGAAAUCGCUGUGAAGAUGCAGUGUACCCGCGGCUAGACGGAAAGACCCCGUGAACCUUUACUACAGCUUGGCACUGAACAUUGACCCUACAUGUGUAGGAUAGGUGGGAGGCUUUGAAGCACGUACGCCAGUAUGUGUGGAGCCGUCCUUGAAAUACCACCCUUGUAGUGUUGAUGUUCUAACGUCGACCCCUAAUCGGGGUUGCGGACAGUGCCUGGUGGGUAGUUUGACUGGGGCGGUCUCCUCCCAAAGAGUAACGGAGGAGCACGAAGGUGGGCUAAUCACGGUUGGACAUCGUGAGGUUAGUGCAAUGGCAUAAGCCCGCUUGACUGCGAGAAUGACAAUUCGAGCAGGUGCGAAAGCAGGUCAUAGUGAUCCGGUGGUUCUGAAUGGAAGGGCCAUCGCUCAACGGAUAAAAGGUACUCCGGGGAUAACAGGCUGAUACCGCCCAAGAGUUCAUAUCGACGGCGGUGUUUGGCACCUCGAUGUCGGCUCAUCACAUCCUGGGGCUGAAGUCGGUCCCAAGGGUAUGGCUGUUCGCCAUUUAAAGUGGUACGCGAGCUGGGUUUAGAACGUCGUGAGACAGUUCGGUCCCUAUCUGCCGUGGGCGUUGGAAGAUUGAAGGGGGCUGCUCCUAGUACGAGAGGACCGGAGUGGACGAACCUCUGGUGUUCGGGUUGUGUCGCCAGACGCAUUGCCCGGUAGCUAAGUUCGGAAUCGAUAACCGCUGAAAGCAUCUAAGCGGGAAGCGAGCCCUGAGAUGAGUCUUCCCUGAUACUUUAAGUAUCCUAAAGGGUUGUCGGAGACUACGACGUUGAUAGGUCAGGUGUGUAAGUGCUGUGAGGCAUUGAGCUAACUGAUACUAAUUGCCCGUGAGGCUUAACCAUACAACACCCAAGGGGUUU